AAUGAGCAUCUAUUACACAUUUAAUGAACAUCUAUUAAAUUAAGGUUUCACCUCACCAUCCCAGCUCACAGAUUCAGCCCUUUUGAGAAUGGCUAAACUCUGCUCUGAAAGAACCCACAACCAUAAGGACUGGUUGGGUUUUGCUGUAAAGAGAAAGUGGGGCUUUUACCUUUUUUAGGGUCUAUAGUUGAACUCUUACCCUUGGCCUACUUCGGUUUUAUCUCCUACUUGGCCAUUGGGAUGGCCAAUCAUUGGCUCACUGCCACAAUGGACCUGGUGAAACUAAUAACUAACUAAUAAUUAGUUAAUUAAUAACUAAGAUACUUAUGGCCCAUGGUGAGUGCCAUGGAGGAAAUGAAACAAACAGGAUGAUGAGCUCAGGAGAGGCAGAAGUAGGAACCUUUAGACAGCUGUGGUCAGAGAAGUUUCUCUAUGGAGAAAGUGCUCCAGAAAGAGAUGUCUUUGAGGGGCAGAAAGGAGACCAGUGUGGCUGAAGGGCAUGAAGAGCCGGCUGCUGGAAGACUGCUCGGAACCUCAUCCCCUUGCUGCUCCUGAUGCGGGCGAUCCUCCGACUGCUCGGCGCCAACCACAACAUGCUACCCACCGUGAGAGAGCAGGACGCGAGCUGCUCUAGUCAGGACUUAUCGUCUAUCAUACUGAUUGACGAAACCAAGAGUGAGCAGAAAAAAUAAACAUGAACAGAGGCUGCAGUGUAUGGGCCAGUCAGCUGGGAGUUUUAGUAUUUGGCCUUGGUGAUCCUACUCUCAUGGUAGGUUAUCUUUUCCUUGUGCUAUCAUUUAUCAUAACUUUGAGGGCCAGGGAGAGAAACAAACCUACAAUUUUUCUAUUGGUUACAUUCAUUAGACUGGUUUCUUUUCUUUUCUUCUUUUUUUUUUUUUUAGCACUCCUUCCUUUGCCCCCACCACAUAAUAAUCCCAUCCCCUAAAGAACGUGAAAUUAAAUCUAAAUACAGUUCUCCCCUUUUACUCCUAUUCCAGCAUAGAUCAUUGCAAGUAAUUAACCUUUGUUAUUCCAUCAAAUCCAGAAUGCAAACCUACAUGUUAAUUUACUUAAGUCAGACCCCAUAGUAAAUCUGCUUCUAUACCAGCUAAACGCAAUGAAGAUUCUGAAUGUUGUUCAGUUAUUUGGAUCACUAACAUCUUCUUAAAUAAUGGCACUUGACUUUUUUAGGUGCAGACCGUGUUUUGUGUCGGUCCUGACGGCCACUGUAAAGCACUCCCCCAAGUGUCAGUAACAAAGAUGAUUUGUAUGUGGCUUGCAGUCUUCCAGUGUCUAAUAGCUUUCUCAUUCCAACCCAGAAACAUGGAGCACAGGGCAGCUGGUUAAAGCUGAUACAAGCAUUUCUUCUCUCAGCAGGCUAUUCUUGCAUAACCAUUUAUUUUGCAGAGUUUUAAAGUGCCUGAAGGAUUUAAUUAUGUACAUAGACAACCCCUAUAAACUCUAUUCUAGGGUUUUUAUUGACUUUUGUGCUGGGCAGCUCUUAGGCAUUUCAAUUAAGUGUUUUUAUAAGAAAAACUACAAUAUUGUAAAAAAAAUUCUUUAUAGAUACUUCUAAACAGUGUUCCCCCCUCUGAUUGAAUAAACUCUAUUUAAUUGACAAAAAAAAAUCUAGGUUAAUUCAAGGUUUAGUUUUUCCACUUUGGAAAAAUGGAAGGUUUGAGUCCCACACAGGUUUGUGAAAAUGGACCUGCCAAUAUCAGUGAAGGCACAAGGGAAGGGGAAGGAAGAUUACUUUGAAACAUACUCUGAAAAGUCGCAAGGCUACCUGUUACUUAGGAGUUUACCUAAACUCAUAAGGGCAAAAACCUAAAUGCAAAAUUUUACAUGUUCCACUUAACAAGUGCCGAAUAAUAAAUUACCAAAUUCAUUUGGAGCACCCGCCUGACAGGUCUAACCCUCAAAAGUCUCCCGGAGACCCCAAAGCCGCCUUUGUCUGCCUUCUUCAAUUGCAGGGCUCAAGUAUUUACAAGGCUUCUGCAAACCUGCCUUCAUUAUGAUGUGGGAUAUUUCAGUCCCAGCAGGUGGCCAACAGGAGACCAGACCUGCCCGUGAAAUAUGUAAUACUUUUUCAUAUACUUUAACCAGAAAUGUGCCCCUCCACAACUCUCCUAACUGUUCUAAUUUCCCUUUCUCCUCUUAAUCUCCUCAGCAAGCCAUGAGCUUGCAUUAAAAUCUACCUAAAACAUUUCACCCACAGGCAAUGUAAUUCUGAAACAAGCAACCAACAUUUCACAGCUCUGGAGUAAUAGAUUAAUUUGAACCUAAUGUUGCCGUCGUUUACUGCUCCAAAUGUUCUGGUGUAGACAUAGCCCCAAGGCAUGGUGCUGUGGCAUGCACAACUUUGGGAGCCGGAGCUACAGUUGGCUUAACAUCUGUGCAUCACAUUUGCCAUGUGCCUCAUUAUCCUGCACCCCACUGUGCCUACCUGUCCCCCUCAGCUUCUCAGCCACAGGCGAUCCAAUUUUUUUCCCCUCCAACUAAGAAUCUUUGUUCUCCUUCUCACUUACUAAAUUUUUGCAAGACCUCUGCACCCAAGCCGUGGGGAUUCUGUCCAUGUGAACAGCCCAGGCCCCUCAGAUUCUUAAUUCUCCAUUAGGAAGAGGAAAAUCACAACAUUAAGUCUCUGACAUGCCACUGCAUAAAUUGUGCCGUGUGCAGAAUCUACUGGAGUCUGUGACCAAACACGAGAGCGUGUAAUAAAGCAUGGCAUUGUUGGUUUUGAUUUUAACAAGUUUGGUCAGUUUCAAUUAUCUGUAAGCUAAGAAAGAGGAACUUCCAAUUCCAGAUUGAAGAGGGACCAAAAAAAUAGUCACAGAAACAAAAGAUUAUCAUGUCAAAAAUUAAAACCAAGGGUCUUGAGCUAUUUAAGAAGUUAGCAUUUCAAAGCAUAUUGUGACAAAUAGUGGAUAUAUACACCCCUCCCCUGCCAAAAAAAAAACAACACCAAGGCUUUAAAAAUACAUGUAGUCACCAGGCCAAACAGCUGCUUAAAUUUUAAUCCUGCUUAAACACUGAAAGAAUCGUAUGACCCCUUUAUUGGUUUUCCAUUGGAAGUGUUUGGGGCACCCACUUAACAAGAGACAGAAUACAGAUUUAGUCCUGCCAAAAUAAUGUAAAAUAUGCAAAAUAAAAUAAAAUAUGUAAAACUCAAAUAAUAUCUGCUGUUAUAUAGGUAUUGUUAUUAAUAAUAACAUCAAUAAUGAGAUACAUAAAAAGCAACAGAACAGCCACACUAGGGUUUAGAUAUCAAAAAGCCACCAUCCUUGCCACAAGAUGAAAGAAAAAAUUCAACCCAGAGGAUUUUGCCUCAAAAAGACCAAAGCUACGAAUAAAGAAAUGUUCGAACAUUAUCUACAUAUUACAUUUGACAAGCUGGAUUCAGACAGUGGUCCACACAGAAGAAAGGCGGUUUAGUGCUCUUCAUUUAUUUUCCAGUAUGAUAGGAGAACAAUUUACUGCGGGAGAUAGGAAACUUAGUUUUAAACAGUCACUUUCAUAGAGCUGAUAAUUAAAAGAUAAAUCUGACUCAAACAAUCCCAACAACCCGUCACUCCGCUUUUUAAUCCCUAGAUGAGAACAGAAUGGAGGUCUUGGAAGAGAAUCUUUGUAAUGCCUGCCCCAUGUAGAACUUCCCCUGUGCUCUGGAAACUGUACUGGAUUUCCACGCUGCCCCGCAUAAUCCUCAAAAUCCACCCACUGCCGAGCACUGAGGCUUGCACAUUUCAUUAUAUGCUUGAAUUAAUUUAUCCUAUAUGGAAUUUGUUACCUUUACAAUAAAAAAGUCGCCAUUCAUUAUUGAGAGUGGACAGAUGGAACAUGUUCAACUUAAGACAUCAAUGAGAAGAGAGGGAAAAACUUAUAAUCCACGUGGCCCAGCCUUCUCCAUCUGGUCGUUCCCAGCUUGUCUGCCAAGACUUUUUUUCCCCCCUCAAAUAAAAGUGAGCAUUUCUCUUUGGAGUUAAUGGAACAUUCUUAGAUAUUGACCCUGAGCCUGAUUUAUAGAUAAUAAGCAACCAUACAAUUAAAAUGUGAUAUUUUCCAAAGGUAAUCUAUGUCAUAGGGGAAGGUUUUGAACUAACUGAAGAAAAAAAAAAUAGAACUACUACUUAUCUAAAAGCAUUACCACAUAAACAAAAUGGUUUUUGCUUUGAUAAAUCAGGAAAGCCACUGAACAAGUUAUUUCAACCUCUAGAAAAACAUAUCGUAAGCUACAUAAAUGCAAAAUCAGGCAACCCAGAGGCUGGCGGUCUCAGGCAGGAAGACCAGCGGCACAUCCUUCCCGAGCCCUUGAGCCGGCAGCUGGCACCUGAUGUGGGAGAGCAGAGGCUUGAUGGACAGGUGCCCCCCGAACCAUAGCUGUUACACGACCACUUUACUGCGACGUUGCGCACAAGCCUGUCACUCUUUGAAAUACGUUACCAUAUUUUGCUAUGUAUAGUGGGCAUUUUUUUUGCCCACACUUUUGAGGGAUAAGGAUGCUCAUUACCCAUGGGUAUAAUGAUUACAUACCAUGGGGCGUAAUAAUCCCACGUAUAACGCACACAAAAUCAGGGGUGCGCAUUACACAUGGCAAAAUAUAGCGAAUCCCAUCAUAUCUCUAUAAAACUUAAGGAAACAAUCCCACCUAUUAACUGAAACAGUACACAUACACUUUCCAUGCAUUUGCCUCUCCUCCCAUGCUCUUGCUUUUUAUUUCUGUUCUUUUUUUCAUUAAGCUAUGUCACUAUAUAAAGACACAGGCUGGUUCUUUGUUUAUGAGCGCACCGGCUCCAGGCCCUGCGAAUAAGAUCAGGAAGCACGCACCUAGUUUUUGGCAAUAGCCUCCAUUUUAAAAGAUCCUUGUAGAGGGAAAAAAGCUAAUUACUUAAUUCUUGUAUUCAGGGAUGAACUAAGUACUUUAAUGUAACAAUGUAACAUGUUUUAAAUGUAUUUCUUAAAACCAUUUUGAAACCUUAUAGCAAUCUUCAUAAUAAACGCUUAUUAAACAAUAUAUGCUUAGCCCACAAUCCCAAAAAUGUUGACUAAACUGUGAUGGGUAUUCUAUAGUAUAUUUUUGACACUGAGAAAGUCUUAAAAAAAUCAUACAUCACUGAUAUAUGAGUAUAUUUAAACUGUACCUUUGGAUACUAAGAAUGUGACUACACAAGAGAUUUUUUUCCAAAUUACUUUGUUAAAAUGUGAUAGAAUUCAACUAAACUGGAACUUGGGUCAACACGAUACCAGCUAGGCAGGUAAUUUCUGCCUACCUGCUCCAUUUCCUCUUCUGUAACAUAAGAAUCACUAUAAUAAUACCUGCAUCAUAUAACCAUUAAGAUUAAAUGAAAUAAUAUAUGUAAGAGGUUAACAUAGUAUGUGGCACAGCAUAAAACAAUAUAUUAGCAAUUACUAUUUUUCAUUCUGGAUGAAUUCAGAAUUUUUUUGUUGGCAUGUCCCAAUAAAACUUUAUUUCUAAAAAAAGGUGGUGGAGUAGAUUUGAUCUAUGGGCCAUAGGUUGCUGAACUGGCAUUCAUCAUUUUUAACAAAGCUUAAAACAGGUAAUGUUGUUAGAACAGCACUAGAAUUAUCUACAAAAAUUAUCACAAACCAAUGACCACGGUCUCUCAACACUCGUCAUUAGUUUGUUCUGGAACUUGUGAUGAGCGCUGAAACUGAGGAACACCUAGCAAACCCAGAGUGUGGAAAUGUUUUCUCCUGCCGGGAGGCGCUGCGACUCAUACAAGUUGUAGCAAGUGAGCCGAGUCCCAAACAAGCACAGGUGCUGCGUACUGAAACAUUUCUUUCUCAUCAAAAUGCGAUGAAUCCAGGGUUUGACAAGGUCUGAAGCUGAUGAGUACCGAGAUAUGACUGUACUCUGAAUCUCCAGGGGGUAAUUAAAAGGUGUAGCCAGAAAUGAGAACCUCUAAUGAAGAUGUCAAAAUUUAGCAAAUUGGUGGUCCCCUAAAUGCUCUGCUUUGUCUGCUUCAUUGGUAUCUUCCUGCAGCAAAGCCUAGCUCAGUGUUUUGCGUACAGCUGAUGUGAAAUUAUCAAAUAAAAGAGCGAACUGCUAAAUCUGUCUCAGCAUGGAUUGCAUAAAUUCUUAGUGGAAGAGUUAAGUUUUUCUGUAUAGUACAACCUGUUCAAGGGUGCACUUCUAUGCAUUGUUCUGGGAAUACAUUUCUGUUUCCUGUUUAUUUAAGAUCUCUCCAUUCAUCUCUUCUUUCAGUACUAUUAUUAGCUGAACUGUGUCCUCCCAAAAUUGAUAUGUUGAAACCCCAACCCCCAGCCCUUCAAAUGUGGCUGCAUUUGGACAGAGGGUCUUCCAAAGUGAUUAUGCUAAAACAAGGCCCUUAGGGUGGACCCUAAUCCAGUGUGGCUGGUGUCCUCGAAAGAAGAGAACAUUUGGACACACAGAGAAACCAAGGGUGCAGAAAGGAUAGGCUAUGUGAGGACACAGGGAGAAGGUGGCCAUCUACAAGCUAAGGAGAGAGGCCUUGGAUAAAACCAAACCUGCCAACACUUUGAUCUUGAAUCAUGAGCCUUCAGAACUGGGAGAAAAUAUAUUUCUGUUGUUUAAGCUAAGCAGCCUGUGGUAUUUUGUGAUGGUAACCUUCACAAAUAAACUAAGUACAUUCAUUUCUCUAUUCAUUGACCCACCCACAGGUAAGGGUUCAGGCUACCCUUCUCUCCCAAAUGCCCUACUUCCCAACAUAAUCUACAAUGUAUCAUAUUUAUUUAUAUGUCUGAAAGCCCAUGAAACUGAGAUUUCUUAGACUAGCAACAUCCUUGUCUACCUCAUACCUACCAUGUACCUGGCACAAUAGCUGAAUGAAUUAGUGAAUGAAUAAGUGAAUGAACAAACACCUAAAUAGCUACCAAAGCAAAUGAAAGAAUAAUCAGUACUUAUAAUAGAACAACUGGUGUUACUGAUGAGCAAAGCAAACAUAAAUAAAUAUCUGAAGAAAAGGACAGAACAAUACACAAUUCUACAAUCUCUGCACUACUAUGAACAAUUCAAUCAAUAAAAUCUACAAAUAUUCUUUGCUUAAGAUCUGCAAAUCUUCCCUGGCUCUCCGCCCAAGGCAGAGGUGUGUUCACUCUGAUUCAGACCCAUCUGUAUUCUUUCCACUUUGAGGGCUGUGAAAGUGCUGCUGAGAUUUGAAAAUCUGGCCUGAUAUUGCAACCAGCUUUUAAAAACUUUGAUCCUUAAAACUCUGGGUUUAAAUAAAGUUAUGUGCUAACAAAGUGUGAAAGAACCUGGAUUGCAUUGAUAUGGAACUAUGGAAUUACUGAGAAGCAAUAACAUUUGGGCACGGUGACUUAGAACACAGUUAAAGCCAAACACAGGCCUCGGAAGCCACCCUAGUCUUAUGGCCAUUUUGUGUCAUUCAUUCAUGGCAUAAAACCCAGAAGGUGGCCCUCGGAGAUUAUUGGUGAUGAAACAAUGGGAAUUAAAGUGAACCAGCCAAUUUAAGUUUCAUUCUUUCCCUUUCUACAAUUAAGUGAAACCAAGGUUACAGAAUCCGUUUCAGAAUUUAUUUUUAAAAUACAAUAAAAUGGUGUGAGUAGACAUCCUAUUUUUAUUGGUACUUACAUUCUGCAUAUGAUUAGGCACAAACUUGCAAAGAAUUAACCACUUCACCAACCCAAUGGAUCUUGCAGGAGCCUGGAGUGUUUUGAAGGGAAAUUGGGGUGGGGGGGGUGACCUGAAGCCUACUCCCUUGGGUCAGUGCAUGCUGGGAGGGGAAAUGAGCUACAGAGCAGACAAUUUUCAGCUUCAGUGGUUUUACUUUCUUUACCAGUUUUCUUUUACUCACAAAAACACACUGACAAAACAAAGGACACAGAAUUAAUGACCCAUGCAUUCUGUCAAUUGACUCUUAGUAGCAGUGGCCAGUUCACCUUAAUUUUUUUGUUCACAUUGAACAUGUAGCCCAAGGCAUUGGUUAAGGUUCACUUAAGAAUUCUUCAAAGGCAUCACUUGGUUUUCAUUAAUUUGUGAACUGUAACUUCUCCUUUCUGCUGAGGAACCCACAAACCAAGUGAAGGCCUUUAUGCAAAAUAAAAGAGCAAAAGGCCAACGUUUUGGCCAACCAGCUCUUCUUUUACCUUUAGACCAGUCACUUAUUAUUCAUGAAUAUUAGAGUAAAUGAUAUCUAUCUGAUUUUUCUAGAACUUAAACUUCAUUUAAAACUUCUCAUCUUUCUCAGAAACCCAAGUGCCGACUUUCUGCUAUCGGAGAGAAGUAAAUGGCGCUGUGGCUUGUUAAUUCUGGGUAAUUAUAUCUUAAUUAUUACUGCAGUCUUUAAGAAAUUAAGAAAAAAUUUUUUAUGAACUCUAACUGUAGUAUUCAUGAAAUAUGAUCAACUAAAUAAAAUAUAAGAACAUAAAAGACCAUAGGAAUUCAAAAGUACCACAUGGGGCAAAGCAGGUUUAUAGUUGUGAGUGUGCAAAACCCAGUGUAUCCUUUUAAUAUUAUUUAUUAGUUAUUGCAUGAUUUUCCCACGUGAACAACUGUGAGCGCACUUCUGCCCCUCCCUGUACCUGCAAAUAGAACUUAGUACUUACAUACCUGCACACAGACCACGCCGCCUCUGAAGACACCCCGCACUGCCGUUUCCUUUCCCUUACUGGCCCACAAUGCACACUCAGAUAUUACGGUAAAUUUUGCUAUUUGCUCAAAAGUUACAAAGAAGGUUCAUCUCUAUGAAUAUCUUUUUUUCAGAAAACUGCAAAGCGUUGAACAGUUUUACAAGACUACGUCGGUCAUGAAUACCGAGGCAUGAACAGUGGGAUCUGAGCUUUCUGUACCAAAUUUGAAACCAGAAUGCAGGAUGAGGAGACGGCUGCUUUGAAGCCUUGUAAGAAGUUGGUAGUUUCAACAUUCUCCUCAUUUAAAACACGUCUGGUAUCAAGACAGUUCUAAGUAUAAAGGAGUCUACCAUGAGGCCACUUGGUAGUUUUUAGCAAAGGAAAUGGAGCCCAUGAAGCAAAUGUACCAUUCCUCUGUAUGAGCCUCUCAGACAGUUAUGAACUAUGAUAGCAAUGCUUGGUUGGUACAGCUUCAUGUUAGUUGCAUGUGUCAGCAUUUCCAUUACAAACCCUUGAUUUCCAAGGUUUUAUAAUUCAGCUGUGGAAAGUUGCUUUAGAAAGAAAGUUGGCAGGGCAGUCUCAGCCAGGGAGUUUAUCAAAUUGAACAAAUCUUUGUUUAGCUAUCUCUCAGUUCUGUGAGCCAAGGUCUACUCCCAGUUAGACAUGCCAGACUUAUAGGGACUUCAAUGCCAGAGAGAGCUUUUUUCUCUCUCUUUAAAUUCACUCCACAAGAGCUUCUCUCAUUCUUGUUUCAGAAGCCGCCAGGAUCCAGCUCAUAUCCUGUGUAACCCAGUGGGAGAGGAGCCACAUCGUAUGUAACCCUGUAGGACAUAUGAAUCGAGUCUUGGCCAAGUGUCUCUGGCAUAAAAUGUGGACAGCACUACAGAGAGACUUGGAACUUCUGAAUAUGUGUGUAAUUACAAUGUAGGCACAUCACACUACUGCUUGCAGA